ACAGUUCUUCAGAGAAUGAUUCUAGUAUAGAAAGUGACUCAGAGAAUGAUUCUAGUCCAGAAAGUGACUCAGAGAAUGAUUCUAGUCCAGAAAGUGACUCAGAGAAUGAUUCUAGUCCAGAAAGUGACUAUAGUACAGAUUAUGGUGAAGGCAGCAGUUCACACAAGAGAGGGUUAAAAAGAAAAAGUAAAGAUGACCAAAUUGAAGAACAAAUCAGAAGUAAAAAGAAAGGAAGGAGAUAUGUUAAUUGGAAUAAGGAGGAUGAAAAGGUUGUAAGAACAUACUUCAAGGAUUAUGUCGAAGACGUGUCUAAAGAAAAGUCCAAAGGAUCACUACCUGGUAUGUUAUAGUAUAAGGGCAAGUUUUUAAAAGGUUUCAGUAUGAAAAAAGUAUUUUUUGACACUGCAUAAGUUUUUAGCUCACCUAGCCAAAAAGG